UUACGGCGAUGUCAUUUUGAAACCUCGGUUCUCGUCUGAUCACCGAAGUUAAGGAACAUCGAGCAAGGUCAGUACUUAUAUAGGUGACCGCUUGUGAAUACCAGGUGCUGUAAG